rnacentral:rRNA from 1 species
UACACACCGCCCGUCACACCAUGGGAGUGGGUUGCACCAGAAGUAGCUAGUCUAACCUUCGGGAGGACGGUUACCACGGUGUGAUUCAUGACUGGGGUGAAGUCGUAACAAAGGUACC